AUUGAACGCUGGCGGCAGGCCUAACACAUGCAAGUCGAACGAGUGGCGGACGGGUGAGUAAUGUCUGGGAAACUGCCUGAUGGAGGGGGAUAACUACUGGAAACGGUAGCUAAUACCGCAUACCAUCAGAUGUGCCCAGAUGGGAUUAGCUUGUUGGUGGGGUAACGGCUCACCAAGGCGACGAUCCCUAGCUGGUCUGAGAGGAUGACCAGCCACACUGGAACUGAGACACGGUCCAGACUCCUACGGGAGGCAGCAGUGGGGAAUUGUGGACAAUGGGGGCAACCCUGAUCCAGCAAUGCCGCGUGUGUGAAGAAGGCCUUCGGGUUGUAAAGCACUUUUGUCCGGGAAGCGGUACCGGAAGAAUAAGGACCGGCUAACUACGUGCCAGCCGCCGCGGUAAUAC
rnacentral:rRNA from 1 species